rnacentral:snRNA from 14 species
AUACUUACCUGGACGGGGUCGAUGGGUGAUCAAGAAGGCCCAUGGCCUAGGUUGGCGACCUCCAUUGCACAUAGGAGGGGUGCCCGCCUAACAUCUCCCUGAGUGGGAGAGUGUACGUCAUAAUUUGUGGUAGUGGGGGAACGCGUUCGCGCGACCCCUAC